rnacentral:rRNA from 1 species
AUUGAACGCUGGCGGCAGGCCUAACACAUGCAAGUCGAGCGGAGCGGCGGACGGGGGAGUAAGGCCUAGGAAUCUGCCUGGGCGUGGGGGAAAACGUCCGGAACUGGGCGCUAAUACCGCACACUCUCAGAUGAGUCUAGGUCGGAUUAGCUAGAUGGUGGGGUAUAGGCCUACCAAGGCGACGAUCCGUCACUGGUCUGAGAGGAAGAUCAGUCACACUGGGACUGAGACACUGUCCAGACUCCUACGGGAGGCAGCAGUGGGGAAUAUUGGACAAUGGGCGGAAGCCUGAUCCAGCCGUGCCGCGUGUGUGAAGGAGGUCUUCGGAUUGUAAAGCACUUUAAGUUGUGAGGCGUUACCAACAGAAUAAGCACCGGCUAACUUCGUGCCAGCAGCCGCGGUAAUUC